GAUGGGACCCUCCAGAAAGAAAACCUGCCCAGCAACCCCAGCAAGCUUUCCCGCCAGCAGGACGCUGUGAAGAAUUACCUGCACCGGAAAGAAAAGAACAGAGGCUUCAGGCAUGCUCGUGUUCCUCCUUCCCGGGGCUCGAUCGCUGGAGGUAAACAUCGAAAUAAUUGGAUCUGAAUGACUGAGGCUGGUAACUUGGUCCUGAACUAAGAUUAGAUCUAGCAACGUUUGCCAAGUCUUUGAGUUCCAGACAGGUUUUCAAGCAGAGGCAUGUACAGAUCUCGCCUCCUGUCUGCGAAGAAGGUUGGAUUUGUGAACGUUGUCUCCUGGUGAUGUACCCGACCAUGUAAGUAGGUGUGUCAGGCUGGAGCCCAGCGAGGUGGGAGAUGUUCUGUAGGUGCUUGAGACACCUCUGUAGGACGCGGGCGAGAGAAGGUCGCAAGCACCACGACAUCGUGAAUGUAACAAGUUCAGCUCUCAAUCCCUGCUCCUCUGACAACGGGGACGCAAGCCGGAGGUUUAGCGCGGAGAUGGAGGGACAGGCUGCCUUAGUUUCCCGGCCCUGUGACUCACGGGGUUUGGGCCCACCAUUUCUUUGCAGUUGAAAAAUGCCAAAUCUGACAUGCACGUCUCACUUUGGCUGGCAACUGAAACUUUACCAACUGUGUGAAUCAUCGGGGAUUAUUUAGAGAGCCCCCGCCCCUAUUUACUGCUUUUGA